CCUACGGGUGGCUGCAGUGCGGAAUCUUUGUCAAUGGGCGCGAGCCUGAACCCGCCAAGUAGCGUGAAGGCUUACUGCCUUACGGGUUGUACACUUCUUUUAUACAGGAAUAAAGUGAGGCACGUGUGCCUUUUUGUGAGUAAUUUAUUAAUAAGGAUCGGCUAACUCCGUGCCAGCCGCCGCGGUACUACGGGGGAUCCACGCGUUAUCCGGAUUUGUUGGGUUUAAGGGGCGCGUAGGUGGGUUGUUAAGUCAGUUGUGAAAGUUUGCGGCUCAACCGUAAAAUUGCAAAUGAUACUGGCAGCCUAUAGUACAGUAGAGGUAGGCGGAAGUCGUGGUGUAGCGGUGAAAGGCGUAGAUAUCACGAAGAACUCUGAUUGCGAAGGCAGCCUACUAAACUUCCACUGACAUUGAGGCUCGAAAGUGAGGGGAUCAAACAGGAUUAGAGACCCGAGUAGUC
rnacentral:rRNA from 1 species